rnacentral:rRNA from 1 species
AACAGCCGCGGUAAUUCCAGCUCCAAUAGCGUAUAUUAAAGUUGUUGCAGUUAAAAAGCUCGUAGUUGAAUUUCGGGACUAAUAUGUCGGUCGUACUUUGUACGUACUAGCAUUAUUGGUUUCUCCCUUCUGACGAACCACGAUGUCAUUAAUUUGGUGUCAUGGGAAAUCAGGACUGUUACUUUGAAAAAAUUAGAGUGUUUAAAGCAAGCUCGCGCUUGAAUACAUUAGCAUGGAAUAAUGAAAUAGGACGUUUGAUUCUAUUUUGUUGGUUUCUAGGAUCGACGUAAUGAUUAAUAGGGAUAGUUGGGGGCAUUAGUAUUCAAUUGUCAGAGGUGAAAUUCUUGGAUUUAUUGAAGACUAACUACUGCGAAAGCAUUUGCCAAGGAUGUUUUCAUUAAUCAAGAACGAAAGUUAGGGGGAUCGAAGACGAUCAGAUACCGUCGUAGUCUUAACCAUAAACUAUGCCGACUAGGGAUCGGAUGAUGUUAAUUUUUUAAUGACUCAUUCGGCGCCUUAC